ensembl:lncRNA
CCCGACCACCUUGCAUAAUGCUAGCCUCUUCUUUGUAGCCACUUGCAUCCCCUCAAAUGUGUUACAUAUCAUUAUAGCUGGACUUAAAGGCUUGAUAUUAAAGCAUUUAUUUUGACAGCAAUAAGCAAUGUUUUAUUGUCUUUAAAAAGAUAUAAAUAUAUAUAUGUAUGUGUGACAAAAAAUAAAGAUUAAAUAAGGUCCCCGAGAUCUUUGGGGAAUCUGACGUUUUCAUACCAAAACAAAAAUCACAGGAGUCCCAGUCCGAAUCCACGUUUGUCCUCAAACCCUGACCUCUAAAGUUUUCGAUAUCUUUGAAAAGUCAUAUCCAACAACAAACAUCAUCUUUCCUGGCUUCUUCUGGCAAAAUGGGCCAAAUUGUUGUGAUUGUGGGUACAGAAACGUUUAAGCAAACCUCCUUAUAAAGGAUCUUCGGCUCUUUACUGCAAAAAAAAAAAAAAACUGCAUACAGUCAUAUACAAAUCGUAUACCAGUGAAUUCCCUUAAUCUGCGUGCAGAUAAAAGCGACGUCGACACCUCAAGUUGCCAAAGUCAUGCGUUUGAAGAACUCUUUUGACACUUCUCAAAGAGGAAAUCUUGUUUUAAACCCAUCCCAUUUGCUUUCCUGAUUGAAUGCGAGCAUCAGAUUUUCAUCAAAGUUCUAUUAAGUGAAACAUAGGUUGCGGGGCACCGUCUGAUUGGAACAGUUUAAAUUUUAAUUGUGUUUUUAAUUUGACAUAUAGUUGCUGUGAAGAAUGACACUGAAACGCCGAGGGGCGGUCGAUUUUCUUAAUUUCUCCCCGAGGAAUUGAUGAGUCUAUCAGGGCAGUAGAUUGGAAAGCCAUUAAAACUCAAUGGUUAGGUUGUUAAUUGGAACUUGAUGGAUAGGAGCCCUUGGAUAGGCUGUACUGAUCCAAUCUUCCUGACUUUGUGUUUUCCAAUAAAUUACCCAGUUCAUUUCCACACUCAGAUUACAUAAAUUGUACACCUCCAGGGCUUGGGUGCUCUGCUUGCGUUUACAACUCUCUCUCUCUCUCUCUCUCUCUCUCUCUCUCUCCCCCCCUCUCUCUCUCAGGCGCGCACACCCUCAUACACACAAAAUAUGCGCGCACGGAGGCACCCAAACGCCUCCUGAAAAAAGAGCAGGCCCCGCUUUCUUGAAUGAAAAUCGAAACAUAAUCAACGUUUAUACUUAGAAAAUUUAUUGAUAUCAUUUUCUCUGGUAAUUUCCUUAUUCUAGACUUGGACACGCCAUAUAUCAUAAUACACACGUGUAACGGGUCUUUGUUUAAUAUUUAUCGAAGCUUGAUUCCCAGAUCAAAGCGCCUCAUAACUUCAUCUGUCUUUCUCAGACCGUUCUCUCUUGCUAAAGAUCUUGUUCUGUUAUUGCGGUAGGGCGGCCAUACACCACCUAUCAUUGUGAUAGAGCGCGGACUUAGGCCCACUCCUUGCUGUUUGGGCUUCGCCGGGCCUUGAAACGUAAGUAACAUAGGUAAGGGAUGAACAUUUCCAUUCCAUUAGAAGGACCUAUACUGCUCAGCCUGUACUGCUGGUCUAUAAACACCACUUUGACAUUAAAUAAAAAAAAAUAAAAAACAUGCUUAAUUUAUUCUCUGCAGCACAAUGGCAGUCUGUUAUGUCCACUAUCUCCGUGAUGAACCAAUCUCACUUUGCAAAAGUCGUCUGAAAGUGUUGAAGGCGCCUGCGCCGACAAAGGUCUUUGUUUGAAAGGAGCGGCAUAUAAAAUAAACCCAUUUAACUGUCAUUGCAGAUUUCACGCCUUAUGUGUAACCACCAUAAAUUCAGCAUCCACCCUGGCUGCCCUCAUAUAUUUGCCCCCCUUCAGUAAAAGCCUCCCCUGCGUAAGCGUUUUAGUAAGAUCAUUUAGCAGCUGCUGGUCCCACUGCCAGUUGAGGAUAUUUACGCGUGGAUCCGGAUGCAUCCAUCUGACUGCCGUGAUGCAGCUGCUGACAGAAUCGGCCGUCAGCAGCAGCAUCAGGAGCAGCAUCACGUCCACAGCCACCG